rnacentral:rRNA from 1 species
CCAAAGAAAAGCAUCGACGCGAGGUUCUAGCCGCCCGUACCCCAAACCGACUCAGGUGGUCAGGUAGAGAAUACCAAGGAGAUCGAGAGAAUCGUGGUUAAGGAACUCGGCAAAAUGCCCCCGUAACUUCGGGAGAAGGGGGGCCAUCCACUUAUACGGACUUGCUCCGAAAAGGGUGUGGUGGCCGCAGAGACUAGUGGGUAGCGACUGUUUACUAAAAACACAGGUCCGUGCCAAGUCGCAAGACGAUGUAUACGGACUGACGCCUGCCCGGUGCUGGAAGGUUAAGAGGACCGGUUAGCCGUAAGGCGAAGCUGAGAAUUUAAGCCCCAGUAAACGGCGGUGGUAACUAUAACCAUCCUAAGGUAGCGAAAUUCCUUGUCGGGUAAGUUCCGACCUGCACGAAUGGCGUAACGACUUCCCAACUGUCUCAACCGCGAACUCGGCGAAAUUGCAUUACGAGUAAAGAUGCUCGUUACGCGCAGCAGGACGGAAAGACCCCGUGACCUUUACUACAGCUUGGUAUUGGUGUUCGGUGUGGCUUGUGUAGGAUAGGUGGGAGACUUUGAAGCAUGGACGCCAGUUCGUGUGGAGUCAUUGUUGAAAUACCACUCUGGUCACUCUGGAUAUCUAACUUCGAACCGUAAUCCGGUUCAGGGACAGUGCCUGGUGGGUAGUUUAACUGGGGCGGUUGCCUCCCAAAAAGUAACGGAGGCGCCCAAAGGUUCCCUCAACCUGGUUGGCAAUCAGGUGUCGAGUGUAAGUGCACAAGGGAGCUUGACUGUGAGACUGACAGGUCGAGCAGGGACGAAAGUCGGGACUAGUGAUCCGGCAGUGGCUUGUGGAAGCGCUGUCGCUCAACGGAUAAAAGGUACCUCGGGGAUAACAGGCUGAUCUUGCCCAAGAGUCCAUAUCGACGGCAUGGUUUGGCACCUCGAUGUCGGCUCGUCGCAUCCUGGGGCUGGAGUAGGUCCCAAGGGUUGGGCUGUUCGCCCAUUAAAGCGGUACGCGAGCUGGGUUUAGAACGUCGUGAGACAGUUCGGUCCCUAUCCGCUGCGCGCGUAGGAAGUUUGAGAGGAUCUGACCCUAGUACGAGAGGACCGGGUUGGACGAACCUCUGGUGUGUCAGUUGUUCCGCCAGGAGCACCGCUGAUUAGCUACGUUCGGGAUGGAUAACCGCUGAAAGCAUCUAAGCGGGAAGCCGGCCUCAAGAUGAGACUUCCAUACCUUCGGGUGAGAGGCUCCCAGCCAGACUACUGGGUUGAUAGGCCAGAUGUGGAAGUGCAGUAAUGCAUGCAGCUGACUGGUACUAAUAAGCCGAUGACUUGAAAAA